UACGUAGGAUGCAAGCGUUGUCCGGAAUUAUUGGGCGUAAAGAGCGCGCAGGCGGUAUGACAAGUCAGAUGUGAAAGAGGCCGGCUUAACCGGCAAGGGUCAUUUGAAACUGUCAGACUAGAGUGCAGCAGAGGAUAGUGGAAUUCCCGGUGUAGUGGUGAAAUGCGUAGAUAUUGGGAGGAACACCAGUGGCGAAGGCGGCUCACUGGACCGGUACUGACGCUGAUGCGCGAAAGCGUGGGGAGCAAACGGG
rnacentral:rRNA from 1 species